GCAGGGACAGACCCUGGCAUGCAGUAGACACAAUAAACGUGUGUAGAGAAUGGACGGAAUGAGACCUUGGCUUCCUGCAAAGGCUACACAGCAGGUGCCACCAAACUUUGGAAGAGGGCAGCUUUCCCCAGUGAUCCCGCACGCGUUUCUUCUCUUCCGAUGUCAUUGCUGGCCUCUGUGGUGGGCUGCUGACUGUUAACACGUCUCUGCUUCCGUGCUAACGAUCAUCGUGGUGUCAGCUGGUCCCAGUUCAAUGAAAGCCAGGAUGUCCAGUUUCUUGCAUUCAAGCACCAGCCAAGCUCGGGUCUUGUGAAGGGUGUGGAAGAGUCUCCGGCAGAGUGGACAUAGACGCAGAGCUGUCAGGCCCCAGGGCUUGCGGGGCUGCCCUAGAGCGUCAACAGGAGGGAGAAGGCGGCAGGAGGGUCAUCGGUCUCCAGGGAGAGAACUCUCAGGCCUGGGCCCCGGGGACCUGUGCUUGGCUGUCUGACAGCCCAGACAUCUGUUGGGGCUGCUGCACAGCCGUUGUUAGUUCUGGUCAGGGGCCUGACUCACAGCAAGCUCCUAGGUCUCCAAAAAUAGGGCCUGGAUUUGAUCUGCGAUUUGCAGCCUUUUUUAAAAAAGUUUUUUUUAAACAGAGAACUACCUUUUAAACAAAGUUUUACAAGGAACCCCAGUUUUAAAAACAAUCCACAGCAGAACUAUUUUGGUUGAAGCGGGGCAGGGACUGGAGUCUCAAAAUGCCCUUGUUUGGCCUCUCUGUGUUUACUUUUCUUUGGUAAAGUAAAGCUGCCCUCCCUGGCA